rnacentral:rRNA from 1 species
CAGGCCUAACACAUGCAAGUCGAACGCUCUCUUCGGNGAGAGUGGCAGACGGGUGAGUAACGCGUGGGAACGUACCUUUUGGUUCGGAACAACUGAGGGAAACUUCAGCUAAUACCGGAUGAGCCCUUCGGGGGAAAGAUUUAUCGCCAUUGGAGCGGCCCGCGUUGGAUUAGGUAGUUGGUGGGGUAACGGCCCACCAAGCCGACGAUCCAUAGCUGGUCUGAGAGGAUGAUCAGCCACACUGGGACUGAGACACGGCCCAGACUCCUACGGGAGGCAGCAGUGGGGAAUCUUGCGCAAUGGGCGAAAGCUGACGCAGCCAUGCCGCGUGUAUGAUGAAGGUCUUAGGAUUGUAAAAUACUUUCACCGGGGAAGAUAAUGACGGUACCCGGAGAAGAAGCCCCGGCUAACUUCGUGCCAGCAGCCGCGGUAAU